UGAAACUCGCCUGUAUGAAGAUGGAGUUGCUAGUAAUCGCGAAUCAGAAUGUCGCGGUGAAUACGUUCCCGGGUCUUGUACACACCGCCCGUCACACCAUGAGAGUUGGCAACACCCGAAACCUGUGGGCUAACCGAAAGGAGGCAGCAGUCUAAGGUGGGGUCAGUGAUUGGGGUGAAGUCGUAACAAGGUAGC
rnacentral:rRNA from 1 species